CUUGGCAGUGCCAAGUGGUUGGACUCUGCCCAACUAGGACUAGAAUGCAGAGGUACCUUGCCAUGUACCAUUGAUGGGUCCUACCAGCUCCACCAGGUUGCCUCAGAGAACAGCACAGACAGUUUCCACCAGCUGCUGAAGCAAGCACUCUCCCAACAUUCAUGGAGGGGUCCAGUGCUGGUUGAGGGGGGCGUCAUCGUCUCAAAGAGGGCCACUUGGACUCCAUUAGACUGCUUCUGGUGUACGGUGGCACAACCGAGCAAUACCCCCGACUGUCCCCACUUUGCUCCACCUGACCAGACACAGGGUGGUGGGGCUGGUACACGCCCUCUGGCUACCCCAAGUCCAGCACCUCUGGAUACCACACACUCAUUGAAAAUGUACACACAGCGAGAUGUUGCCAAAUGAUGACAUCAUUAUAGUGGCAGCUGUAAGCCUCUUCAUGCUAAUAGUACCACAGAAUGUGAAACUGAGUAUAUUAUGUUGUUAUACUUUGUUGAUUAUAGGUUGUGUCUAACACAAUCGCUUUUUGUACAGUAUAAUUAUAGAUACAUGUAUUUAACAUUCGACAAUCUUUAAUAAUUGCUCCCUG